rnacentral:rRNA from 1 species
GAUGAACGCUAGCUACAGGCUUAACACAUGCAAGUCGAGGGGUAACGAGAGGAAAGCUUGCUUUCCCUGUCGACGACCGGCGCACGGGUGAGUAACGCGUAUCCAACCUGCCCCCAACUAAGGAAUAACCUUGCGAAAGUAAGACUAAUACCUUAUAAUUUCCUCAGAUGACAUCUGACGAGGAAUAAAGAUUUAUCGGUUGUGGAUGGGGAUGCGUCUGAUUAGCUUGUUGGCGGGGUAACGGCCCACCAAGGCAACGAUCAGUAGGGGUUCUGAGAGGAAGGUCCCCCACAUUGGAACUGAGACACGGUCCAAACUCCUACGGGAGGCAGCAGUGAGGAAUAUUGGUCAAUGGGCGGAAGCCUGAACCAGCCAAGUAGCGUGCAGGAUGACGGCCCUAUGGGUUGUAAACUGCUUUUAUACAGGAAUAAAGUUAGCCACGUGUGGUUAUUUGUAGGUACUGUAUGAAUAAGGACCGGCUAAUUCCGUGCCAGCCGCCGCCGUAA